UACGAAGGGGGCUAGCGUUGCUCGGAAUCACUGGGCGUAAAGGGUGCGUAGGCGGGUCUUUAAGUCAGGGGUGAAAUCCUGGAGCUCAACUCCAGAACUGCCCUUUGAUACUGAAGAUCUUGAGUCCGGGAGAGGUGAGUGGAACUGCGAGUGUAGAGGUGAAAUUCGUAGAUAUUCGCAAGAACACCAGUGGCGAAGGGCGGACUCACCUGGCCCGGGUACUGACGC
rnacentral:rRNA from 1 species